rnacentral:lncRNA from 1 species
AGCCAAGGAUCCCCCAGCGCUGGGCCGGGCGCGGUCUGAGGGCCCCGCGCAUUCGAAAGGAGGGGCUGUCUCCCAGAGGAGCUGGCUGUGGGGGCGCCGGGCUCCAGGGAGGACAAUGGCCCCUCUUGGCCCUGGGAACCCCGCCCCCAGCUACCCUCUCGGUUCCGCCCUUGCGACAGCCCCACCCUGCGGCUUUGUACGGAGGGUCUUUUUUCCCCACGCCGGUUUAGAGACCAACCCGCACCAUCCCAGCUCCCUGUCUUUUGGCAGACAAGGUGCUCUGAGCUUUUGCCGGUUUUGGGUGGGGGAGGUAGGUAAAGGCUGGCCCAGGCCCUGAACCCACUGAGAAGAAACAAAGCGUCGGAUCAGAGCUCGGAAGGGCGCGAACACAGAGGGGUGGCGGCGGCCGAGAGCGAGCUCCGUGGGUCGCCGGCUUCCGCAGUGGGCGGGGAGGGGGUGGGCACCCGACCUCCUCCACCAAGGGGCUGCCAUGAGCGUCCAAAGGAGCUUUGUGGGCCCGGGCGCGCACAGCACCUGGACGUGCCACUGCCCGGUGCGCAUCCGUGUCAGGAAUUGUCACAAGGACGCACAAGCCAGGCAAGAACCCGGCCAGGGUGGGGGAGGGUGGGCAGCGGCUUCUAUCUGACUCACUCUCUGAGGUCGGAGACUGCGUGCAGGGGGGCCUCGGGGGAGCGACUGGAGAUGCGUUUACUGGUCAGAGAAGGAAGGGAGCAAAGGACUCGCCGGCACGGCACUGACCUCCUCCUGGGCCAGAUAUUACAGUGCCACCACCUUAGAACAAGGGCCUUCUGAUACUUCAGUAACAAAAAUCCUUCAGGAAGGGUCUGACAGUGCACGAUGUACAGACGAACCCCACCCGGCCCCCAAAUCAGCAUUCACUUCACAAAAUGAGCAGCUGCGAACUUGCCUGUGGACGCCUGUGUCCGGUCUGUGUGCACAGGGCUGUGUGUGGGUGGCGUGGACCUGUACCUGUCUCUCUCUUUUCUCUCAAGAAGCUCUCCAGUUUGGAAAGUCGAGAAAUGGAUCUUUUGUUCUCAAGAGAUGCCCCUCCCUGCCCCACAGUGUGCUCGUGUGGCUGCUGCUGGGGUCUAGCUGCCUGGGGUUCCUCCCUGUCCCUGUUCAAGGGAGUCCGGGGUGAGUGUCUGAGGUGCCUCCCUGUCUCCACGAGGGAAGAAGUUUUGCAGCCUCAGGGCAGCCAGCUCCUGCUCCAUCCUCAGAGGGGUCUGGUGCCGGGCUUAAGGCUGACUCACCGUCCGGUCUCCCAGCAGAGGCGGGCCCUGCCAGGAAGCAGCUCCCAGUUCUGAGGCCGGCAGUCAGGGGUGGGGCUGGCCAGGGGGCUGCUGACUGAGCCUGCGUAGGAGUCGGCUGAUGGCCCUGCAGCCUCCAUUGAGCCUGUCCCAGGAAGGGGGCUGACUGAGUGCUCAGUCUCUGCAGAGGAAAUGGAGGUGGUCUCUUCAGCGAGACGCCCAGGUUUCAGCAGAGGGAUGGCCCAGGGGCGCCACUGCUCCCCAGCACCAGGCAGCAUAGUUCAUCCCCAGGUACUCACUCCCAGGGACUUCUCCGCCGGCUGGGCCUCUGCCUCACUGCCAUCUUCAGAAGCCUCACAUCAAGCAUUUCCCAGGACUGGCUGAACACAGACCCUCCACCCCCGACCCCUUCCCCACCUGCCUACUCCCAGAAUGGCAGUGCUGGGCAGACAGCAGACCCAGCCCCCAGCCCACCUGCACUGAGCCCCCUUCCAGGCAUCUCAGAGUGGACAGGGAUGGUCCCAUUCACGGCUCAUCAUGGCUGGAGGGACUCAGGGCCAGGGCCAGCAAAGGGAUGUGUCCCGGCUGAGGUCACAUGUGGUCACAGGGAAGGCUGGGAACCCGCCUCUUCUGCAGCUAGGACAGCGUCAAGAGUGGAGGGGACUGGGGCCCUGCUGCACCUGCUCGUCCUUCCUCUAGGCUGGGGUUUGUCAGCACGGAGAGAAAACCGAGAAGCAGGGUCAGCGCAAGCCUGGUUGGGACCUCCACACUCCCCAGGCAUUUGGGGCCUCUGGGGCUGUGGCUUCCUCACCUGGGGAGGCAGCCACGUUUUCCGGGACUCCUUUCUUCCCUCUCGACUCUCACCCCUGCCCACCUUCCCCUCCCCCAUCCCUCCACCCGCAAACUUCAAGCACUUUCUGGAAGGGGCUAAGGUGGGUGAUGCUGAGUCACAUUUAUUACCAGACUUUCCUGGCCCCAUGCUCACAGGCACUGGUCACUGAGUCAGGCAUUUGCCAGGGCUGUCUGCUUGGGCGACUGCUGCAGGAAAGCAGGCUGAGGCCCCAGUGCCCAGUCUGAGCCUUAGAACCGGCCCUCAGGAGGGCUCAGCCCCAUACCACUAGGGGGGCUCCUGCAAACCUGGUCCCUUGGCCUGAGGCAGGGAUUUCACCUCCUUUUGCAGGAGCCGCUGCAAGGCUGUGGAUGAAGCUUUCUGGUCACAAAGCCCCUUCUCCUGGGGCUGCUGUGGGAGUAGCUCUUGGCACACACUUCCACCCAGAGACUUCACAUCCCAGCUGACGAGGGCACGGUCCUGAGAGCUGGCAGCAAAGAUGGGGUGGGGUGGAUGCUGCUCAGUCAUUGGAGCAGACGGAGUGUCCCAGGAGUGGGCGGAAAAUGUCUCUUUAGGAGCCUGAGGUUGGCCCCUGGUGCCCGGAGCCUGAGGCCCCACAACCUCCCCAUGUCCUCCUCCGUUCCCCACGACUGCUGGUGAGAAGUCCUGCCUGGAGUUUUGCAGGGACCCCUCCCUGGACCCAGAAGGGUCCGCGCUUCAACACUUUCAGAGAUCAUUUAGUCCAUCCUCUUUGACAAACGGGGACCAGGGAGGUAAGGAACUGCCCAGGGUCACACAGGAACCAGACCACACAAUAUCACCACCUCCCUCUGCCCAGCACACUUAAAGCCGCGUGCACCGCGCUCACCAGGAGCAUGUCAGCACCUCCUUGAGCGUCCUGCGGAGCUCCUGGCUGUGGAAGGCGUAGAUGAGGGGGUCGAUGAUGGCAUUGCAGAUGAUGAGGGCGAGAAAGAGGUUGAAGUUCUUGAAGAUGCAGCCGCACGUGGGGUGCUCGGGGCAGAGGACGAUGAGUGUGAGAUGCAGGAAGAAGGGGCCCCAGCAGAGGAAGAAAAUGCCCAGCAGGAUGGUGAGGGUGACAGCGCCUUUAAGGCCAAAGCCCUGGUGGACCGGGCGCUGCCUCUUGUGGAGCCGGGCGAUGCCCUGGGCGUGCUGGCAGGCCCGGGCCAGCAUGUGGACGUACAGCACGGCCAUGAGCACCAGCAUAGCCAGGAAGAAGACCACGAGGCACAGCAGGACGGCCACGUGGUCGUAGUAGGCGAUGAAGAGCGUGCUGAAGACGACACUGGCCACCCAGAUGGCCGCAACGGCUCGCCGCGCCCGCGGCAGGGUCACGAUGCUGUGGUAGCGCAGUGCGUAGAAGAUGGAGAUGUAGCGGUCCACGGCGAUGGCGCCCAGGAAGCAGAGGCUGGACAGCAUGGAGCUGCAGGUGAUCACGUCAAUGACAUUGUCCAGCUGCUGCAGCACCGCAGCCCGGGCCACCAGUGCACCGGCCUCCAGCAGGAGGAUGACGGCCGUCUCCAGCACGUUGCUCCCGCUCACCAGCAGGUCCGACAAGGCCAGGCAGCAGAUGAAGCAGUACAUGGGUGAGUGCAGGUUCCGGUUCUUGGCGAUGGUGGCCACCACCAGCGCGUUCUCCACCAAGCUCACCAGCCCCAGGCUGAGGAAGAGCCCGUCAGAGAUGGACACCUCCAGGCACCGGGCUCCUGUCUGGUUGGCAGCCAGCCCCAGCUGGGGGAUGGCUGUGGGGGUGGAGUUGAGGGAGCCCAGAAGUCUUCUCUGGGAUCCCUGCACAGCCAUAGUCCUGUCCAGGAAGCAGGAAGGAGUCGUUGGAGGCCUCCAGGUCCCCACAGUUCUUCCCCUCCAGGUGUCCUGCUUAGUUCAUGGUGCUGCCAGGGGGCCUUGGGUGUCCCCCAUGCCUGCCUCCUUCCAUCUGGGCACCCCCAGAUCUGCCCUCACACCCUCUCCCUGGCUGGACAGGUCAGCCCAGGCAUGGCCCAGCCAGUCCAGACACCUCCUGGCAUCUACCGCCUGGGCUCAGGGAUUCUCACAACCAAGCCUGGUCCUCAGCUCCCUCCCUGCCUCUUCCCUGGUGGCUGCUGCUCAGGUCCCCAGGACAUUUCGACACCUCUGGACCGUCCUGGCCUCUGUCUCCUGCCUUCCUGGGCCAGGGCUGCGCUGAGGUCCUGGGAAGAAUGGAGCUUUUCUCUGCGUUUUAAAAAGUCGUUCUCAGAGCCCCUCCCACUGAGGGCGGCCACAUGCCGGGGGCGUGAGCACCCACCAUGGCCCGGCCUGCCACCAGGCGGCGUGCAGGACCCAGGGGGUCCCUCACACCGCGGAUCUCCUUUACGUUAAAAAACACCACAGUCUGUCCUGGUCACCAGGGCCCCCACCUGGCCGCCCCUCUAGGAGUCCGGAGCUUCCCCGGGACCUGCCCUCUCCAGAGGCCCCACCCUUCACCCCUCCCCUCGUCAGCAGCUCAGGGAGGACAGGGGUCCCCUCUGCUCUCAGCCAAAGCACGCAUGGAGCAGCAACUCAGCUGUCAACGUUCACGGCAGAUUUGGGGGCUGGACCAGGGAGAACUUUCCAAUAAUUAAAGUUCUGGAAACUGAGUGAGCCCUGCAGGAGUUUGCACAUCGCGCGGGGUGAGGGGGCUUCCGGCCAGGGCAGAGCGUGAAAGCGUCCAAUGCUAGUGAGCCCUGGAGAGGUUGGUGUUUUCAGGCAUCUUGUAGAGCCUGAGGCCACUCUGGCGCCUGCCCCCAAGGGCCCAGCCUCGCCCAGCCAGAGUGGCGACCCCCUCAGCUGCAGCCCUGGGGCUGUGGGGGUGUCGCUUCCUGGGAGCGGACCGGCUGGGGGCACCCUAGUGAGGUCUUCAGGGACCCUCCAGUCAUCUCGUCGCUCAUCCUCACAGGGGCACCCGGGACGCUGCUCCCGCCCUCCCCGGGCGGCGCGCCAUUUCCGCUGCGGAAGGCACCACAGGCCCUGCACCAACAGCCACAUCAAAGGCAGACCUCUCGCCUCCAGCCGUCGCACGUGGUGCUCCGCAGGCCGUUCACAGCAGUCGGGCGUGGCCCCGAAGCCCAGCAGGGACGGUGGAGAGGGGCCCUGGCACCCACUGCAGGCAUCUUCCUGGGUUCACUCCAGGGCGUUCCCAGCACUUCCUUGCUGAAGACUGCGUCUGUGCUGAAGGGUGGAAGCGGGAGGGGGAUGGAAUUACUCGUCCCAUUUACAGCUGCAGGAAAGGAGGCAACGGUGCAGGCACCGCAUCAGGGUUUUCAGUUUUGUGUCUGCGAUGUUCGAGUUAAAAUCCAUCCUGUCUCUCGCCCAACUGCCAAACUCUGACCAUGAAAUGCUCACACCACUCACAAGCCACCUCCAUGUGUGUGAGGACAUUAAUAUUUUUCAUAUUUACUGGUACAGUAAAUACUUGUUACAACCGCAUUUUACAAUUUAUAAAUCUUUAGUUUUGCUUUAAAAUUUUUUAUUAUUGUCAGCCAUGGUGGCUCAGGGCUGUAAUCCCAGCACUUUGGGAGCCCAAGGCGGGUGGAUCACCUGAGGUCAGGAGUUCGAGACCAGCCUGGCCGACAUGGAGAAACCCCGUCUCUACUAAAAAUACCAAAAUCAGCCAGGUGUGGUGGUGGGUGCCUGUAAUCCCAGCUGAGUCAGGAUAAUAGCUUGAACAUGAGAGGCGGAGGUUGCCGUGAGCCGAGAUUGCACCAUUGCACUCCAGCCUGGGCAACAAGAGCAAAACUCUGUCUCAAAAAAAAAAAAAAUUAUUAUUGCCGGGCACAGUGGCUCACCCCUAUAAUCUCAGCACUUUGGGAGGCUGAGGCAGGCGGAUCAUGAGGUCAGGAGUUCAAGACCAGCUUGGGUAAUAUGGUGAAACUCCAUCUCUACUAAAAAUACAAAAAUCAGCCAGGCGUGGUGGCGCACGCCUAUAAUCCCAGCUACUUGGGAGGCUGAGGCAGAAUUGCUUGAACCCAGGAGGCGGAGGUUGCAGUGAGCCGAGAUCACACCACUGCACUCCAGCCUGGGAAACAGAGAUACAGUCUCAAAAAAAAAAAAAUAUAUAUAUAUAUAUAUAUACAUAUAAUUUUUAUGUAUUUAUUUAUUUUGAGACAGUUUCACUCUGUCGCGCAGGCUGGAGUGUAGUGGUGCAUUCUUGGCUCACUGCAACCUCCACCUUCUGGAUUCAAGCAAUACUUAUGCCUCAGCCUCCCAACUAGCUGGGACUACGGCACCCACUACCACACCUGGCUAUUUUUUGUAUUUUUUGUAGAGAUGAGGUUUCACCAUGUUGACCAGGCUGGUCUUGAACUCCUGACCUCAGGUGAUCGGUCCGCCUCAGCCUCCCAAAAUGCUGAGAUUACAGGGAUGAGCCCCCACACCCCAUCUGCUUUAAUUUUUUUUUUUUUUUUUUUGAGACGAAGUCUCACUGUCACCCAGGCUGGAGUGCAGUGGCAUGAUCUUGGCUCACGGUAGCCUCUGCCUACUGGGUUCAAGUAAUUCUCAUACCUCAGCCUCCUGAGUAGCUGGAACUACAGGCGCGUGCCGCCACACCCGGCAAAUUUUUGUAUUUUUUUUAGUAGAGAUGGGGUUUCACCAUGUUGGCCAGGACGGUCUUGAUCUCCUGACCUCAUGAUCCUCCCGCCUCCGCCUCCCACAGUGCUGGGAUUACAGGCGUGAGCCACCGCGCCCGGCCCUAAAAUGUUUUAAUUGAGGUACAACAUACAUGAAAAUGCACCAGUGAUAAAUAUGCAGGUUGACGGAUGACAGACCUGAACCAGCCACAUAAGCAGCACCAGACCAACAGACACAGCGUUCCCACCCGGACGGCUCCAGCGAGCCGCUGCCAGCCCAUCUGGCCCAUCACGUGAAUGGUGUCCCAGUUCACUCUCUCUGGCUGAGAUUCGCCUAUGCCGGUGGCUGUAACCGUCUGCCUCAGACCGUGGUGUCCACGGCGUGAACAGACCACGUCUGGGUGGCUUCAGACUCCCUAUCAACGAUACCGUCUGAUGGACACAGGUGCGUCUGUGGAUUGCCACCCGGGGGACAUGGGCAGGGACCUCUCUUCAGCUUUGGGAGACUUGGUCAAACCAUCUUCAAAUCGGCAGGCCUGUUUCUGUUCACACACGCAGCCCCAGGCUGCUCAGAGGAGAGAGCGCGCCCUGCCCACACCACCACAGGACCUGGUAUCCGGCCACAGCCACAGAGCCUCGGCCUCAGCCCAGCCUUUUGCCUCCCAUGACCUUUGCCCCCUCACGCUGUGCUUCCAGCAUGAGCACAGGGGAGAGAAGGGUCCCAAGGUGUGAGAAGGCCAAGCCUCUGCCUCGGGAAGGAAGACGGCUCCACUGGUGUGAGGGCCGUGGCUGUGUCCCUGCCCCAGGAGCACCCCCGACGUCCACAGCACCUCACAGACCCAGACCCAGAGCCCGCUCACCUCUGGCCAUGAACCAGUGAGCAGCCCCUGCCCCAGAGCACUGUCCCCUCACAUUUCAAGGACGUUCGUGUUUGCAGCUCCACAAUGAGGCCUUUGAGACGGACGGCGGUUAACCCCAGCCUCCACUGCUACCCCCCAGCCCGGGACUUGAAAGGGCAUGAGAACUGGGCAGCCUUUUUCGUGCCAAGAUGCAGCUGGAGGGCAUCGGAAGUGGGGUGACCCUGCCACAGGACUCCCACUGUGGUUCCUCACUGGAUGUGCCUGUCGGGGCUUCGUGGGAAGAUGAGGCACAGCCGAGCUGCAAAAAGUCAACUUUUUGAUGUGUUAUGGUCAUGGGGGAGAUAAAUUAGCCUCGGGAUGAUCUGUGAUUAGAUGACAUCCUACAGCUAAUCAUAUCUCGAUUUUGGUCUCUUAGUGCCCCUGGAAACACUGCAUGCUGAGUGGCCGGAAGACACGUGGGGCUGGCCCAUCCGCUCACCAGGGUCCCCGCCACAGGCAGAGGCACCGUUCCUGCAGAGCACUUUCCAUCCAGGUGUUUCUGGACCAGCGACCCACGAGGAGAAUGAAGACAGACGUCUUCCUGCGUUUAUUCAGUGUCUGGCAUCCAGGGCCUGCAACACACACACAGGCACACACACACACACAAAUGUGCACCCACACACACAGGCACACACACACACAAAUGUGCACCCACACACACAGGCACACACACACAGGCACACACACACAAAUGUGCACCCACACACAGGCACACACACAAAUGUGCACCCACACACACAGGCACACACACACACAAAUGUGCACCCACACACACAGGCACACACACACAAAUGUGCACCCACACACACAGGCACACACACACACAAAUGUGCACCCACACACACAGGCACACACACACACAAAUGUGCACCCCCACACACAGGCACACACACACACAAAUGUGCACCCCCACACACAGGCACACACACACAGGCACACACACAAAUGUGCACCCACACACAGGCACACACACACAGGCACACAUGCAUACAAAUGUACACACAUACAAAUGUACACACAUACAUACGUGCGCACACACGUUUACCCACACACGCGUGCACAUACAAAUGUUUACCCACACACGUAUGCGCACACACAAUGUUUACCCACACACGUGCACACACGUGCACCCACACCACAUGCGCACACACACAGGCACACACAAAUGCGCACCCACCCACACACGCACACACACACACAUCUGCUCAAUGUGUGCCCGAGGGCUGCGAGAGGUA